GCGUCUUUUGGCUGAACGCACAUGCUCACAACCCAAUGCCCUUACAUCGCUAUAAGCAUGCGUAACAGGGUGCGUCAUUACUGACGCGCAUGCCCAAGGCGCUGUAGCAUUCUAGUGUGAGAAAAUGGCGGCUGCUGUGGAAAAGAUCCUUGGAGAACAGUAUUACAAGGAUGCCAUGGAGCAGUGCCACAACUAUAAUGCUCGCCUAUGUGCUGAGCGGAGUGUCCGACUGCCUUUCUUAGAUUCUCAGACUAGGGUGGCUCAAAGCAAUUGCUACAUUUGGAUGGAGAAAAGACAUCGUGGGCCAGGUUCUGCACCAGGGCAGCUUUAUACAUAUCCAUCCCGACGCUGGCGCAAAAAGAGGAGGGCACAUCCACCUGAAGAUCCCAGGCUCUCUUUCCCAUCCCUCAAACCAGACCCCGAGCAGAUGUUAAAGAAAGAGGGCGUAAUACCACCAGACGGCAGUAGCCUUGAAGCUCUUCUGCGUUCAGACCCCAUUGAGAAGAGAAUUAUGCCAGAUUCCCGGGAUGAUGACAGCCUUACUGAAUUCCCCCCUCUUUCCAGAAGCGCACGGAAGGUACAGGCCUACGGCGAGCAUCAGCGUUACGUAGCGAAGGGGAUUAUCACGCGUAUCUUGGAGCCUGAUGAUUUCUUAGAUGACCUGGAUGAUGAAGAUUAUGAAGAGGACACACCAAAAAAACGUGGGAAAGGCAAAGCCAAGGGUAAAGGUAUUGGUAGUGCAAGAAAAAAGUUGGAUGCAGCUGCCCUAGAUGAUAGAGAUAAACCAUACGCUUGUGACAACAGUUACAAACUAAAGCAAACUUCGAAAUUCUCCGAAAGAGUCUGUGGAAAACGCUAUAAAAACAGACCUGGUUUGAGUUAUCAUUAUGCCCACUCACACCUUGUGGAUGAAGAAGGCGCUGGAGCAGAAGAUAAGGAGGAUUCCCAGCCUCCCACCCCUAUCAUGCAUAGACCAGAGGAACAGAAAUCCAAAAAGGGCCCAGAUGGCAUUGCGUUGCCAAACAAUUAUUGUGACUUUUGCCUUGGAGACUCUAAAAUUAACAAGAAAACAAACCAGUCUGAGGAGCUUGUGUCCUGCUCAGACUGUGGCCGUUCUGGGCAUCCUUCCUGCUUGCAGUUCACAGCUGUGAUGAUGGCAGCAGUUAAGACUUAUCGUUGGCAGUGCAUAGAGUGCAAAUGUUGUAAUAUCUGCGGGACCUCUGAGAAUGACUGUUCUGAGCUCCCUGUUUCCGUAGGAUCAGUUGCUGUUCUGUGACGACUGUGACCGUGGUUAUCAUAUGUACUGCCUUGUGCCGCCUGUGGCUGAACCACCUGAAGGAAGUUGGAGUUGUCACCUCUGUCUGGAUCUUCUAAAGGACAAAGCAUCAAUUUACCAGAACCAGUCCUGACAGGUGCCCUUGAAGGCAAACGGGCUGAUGGAGAGAGGACGACAACUCUCGGCCCUGAAAAUCCAUCCUUUAAGAAAUCGAAUAGGAGGAUUUAAUGGCUCAGUCCCACGCUUACCUCUCCAGAGAUGAAGUGUGUGUAUAGGUUUGUAUAUGUUCCUGCGAGCAUACACAAAUUUUUAUGCACACUUUAGUUCUGUUCUCCUUUUGUCUUUUAAUACCUUCAGUAGCCUUGUAUCAUAGAGGAAGAUUGUCACAAGUUAGUAAUGUAGUCACCACUGUGCACUGGUAAGGUGGUCUGAACAUUG